UACGUAGGGUGCAAGCGUUUGUCCGGAAUUAUUGGGCGUAAAGGGCUCGUAGGCGGUCCGUCACGUCGGGAGUGAAAACUUGGGGCUUAACCCCAAGCCUGCUUCCGAUACGGGCGGACUAGAGGUAGGCAGGGGAGAACGGAAUUCCUGGUGUAGCGGUGAAAUGCGCAGAUAUCAGGAGGAACACCGGUGGCGAAGGCGGUUCUCUGGGCCAUUACUGACGCUGAGGAGCGAAAAGCGUGGGGAGCGAACAGG
rnacentral:rRNA from 1 species